rnacentral:rRNA from 1 species
AGUGAACGCUGGCGGUAGGCCUAACACAUGCAAGUCGAACGGCAGCACAGUAAGAGCUUGCUCUUACGGGUGGCGAGUGGCGGACGGGUGAGGAAUACAUCGGAAUCUACUUUUUCGUGGGGGAUAACGUAGGGAAACUUACGCUAAUACCGCAUACGACCUACGGGUGAAAGCAGGGGAUCUUCGGACCUUGCGCGAUUGAAUGAGCCGAUGUCGGAUUAGCUAGUUGGCGGGGUAAAGGCCCACCAAGGCGACGAUCCGUAGCUGGUCUGAGAGGAUGAUCAGCCACACUGGAACUGAGACACGGUCCAGACUCCUACGGGAGGCAGCAGUAGGGAAUAUUGGACAAUGGGCGCAAGCCUGAUCCAGCCAUACCGCGUUGGUGAAGAAGGCCUUCGGGUUGUAAAGCCCUUUUGUUGGGAAAGAAAAGCAGCAGGUUAAUACCCCGCUGUUCUGACGGUACCCAAAGAAUAAGCACCGGCUAACUUCGUG